rnacentral:rRNA from 1 species
GAUGAACGCUGGCGGCGCGCCUAAUACAUGCAAGUCGAGCGAACAGACGAGGAGCUUGCUCCUCUGACGUUAGCGGCGGACGGGUGAGUAACACGUGGAUAACCUACCUAUAAGACUGGGAUAACUUCGGGAAACCGGAGCUAAUACCGGAUAAUAUAUUGAACCGCAUGGUUCAAUAGUGAAAGACGGUUUUGCUGUCACUUAUAGAUGGAUCCGCGCCGCAUUAGCUAGUUGGUAAGGUAACGGCUUACCAAGGCAACGAUGCGUAGCCGACCUGAGAGGGUGAUCGGCCACACGGGAACUGAGACACGGUCCAGACUCCUACGGGAGGCAGCAGUAGGGAAUCUUCCGCAAUGGGCGAAAGCUUGACGGAGCAACGCCGCGUGAGUGAUGAAGGUCUUCGGAUCGUAAAACUCUGUUAUUAGGGAAGAACAAAUGUGUAAGUAACUAUGCACGUCUUGACGGUACCUAAUCAGAAAGCCACGGCUAACUACGUG